GUAACCAGGGGAGCGAUUGCUGAGAGGUCCCGAAAGGGAUGACCCUUACACCUGAUCCGGGUAAUGCCGGCGUAGGAAGGUAUAUAAA
rnacentral:ncRNA from 1 species